UGAAGCGAUACUGCGCUCUAGGCAAAGGUUAGAUCACGGCUCUUGAUCUUCUGCUUGGAGAUACUGUGAGUCUUCUGUGUGUGAGAGCAAACCAGUUCAUGACAACAAGAACCCCAGAGGAGAUACGAAUUUCCCAGGUUUGAUGUCUCUGCUGGCACUCUUAAAUUUUUCUGGAGAAGUGGCAAACACGUAGAAAAUCCCCAGAGCCAUGUGCCCACCACCUGGAAUCUUCAUCUCUUAGACAAACCUCCCCACUGCCCACGUCCUGGCUGCCCACCAGCCCUUUCUGGAUGAACUUCAAAGCAAGUCUCAACCCUGGAAGUCCUGAAAGCUUCAAGCUGUGAUGCUGUGGAGGGGACUUGGCAGUUGACCAUCAGAGCCGUCACAUCGGAACAGUAAGCCAAUAGACAAGCAAUGGCAGGAGUGAACAAAUGGGAAGACCCAAAGAAAGCAACUAGAAGACCUCCCAUCCCAAAUAACAAGGAUUGGGAAAGGGGAGAGGGAAGGGCAGCCGCUUCAAGGAGCCAUGCCACCGUCAUCCUUGUGUGUUACUCAAGAAUGCCUAAGCAACAGUUUGGAUGCUCACCUUACUAGACCUGG